GGCUCAAAUGAGAGAGGUCCAAGUCCAAGAUUUUUUCUUUUAUUUAUUUAUUUAAUUAAUUUAUUUUUUUCGUUUUUUUUCUUUUUCUUUUUUCGUUUUUUUUUUCGAUUGUUUUUUUAUUAUUAUUAUUAUUAUUUUUUUUUUUUUCAAAACACGUGGGCUUCGCCUAGCCAGCAUGACAGCUCAUGAACAAACCUUUGCUCCUUCAAGAUUAACGUUUUGACUGACGAAUAGACCCCUGUU
rnacentral:lncRNA from 1 species